rnacentral:rRNA from 1 species
ACAUGCAAGUCGAGCGGAGACAGAUUUGAGCUUGCUUCUGAGAUAUUCUAGCGGCGGACGGGUGAGUAACGCGUGAGCAACCUUUCUCUCAGUGGGGAAUAACACAGGGAAACUUGUACUAAUACCGCAUGAGACCACAGAGUCGCAUGACUUAGGGGUCAAAGAUUUAUGCUGAGAGGUGGGCUCGCGUCUGAUUAGGUAGUUGGUGAGGUAACGGCUCACCAAGGCGACGAUCAGUAGCCGGACUGAGAGGUUGAACGGCCACAUUGGGACUGAGAUACGGCCCAGACUCCUACGGGAGGCAGCAGUCGGGAAUAUUGCGCAAUGGAGGAAACUCUGACGCAGUGACGCCGCGUAUAGGACGAAGGUCUUCGGAUUGUAAACUAUUGUCGUUAGGGAAGAGAAAGGACAGUACCUAAGGAGGAAGCUCCGGCUAACUACGUG